AAUAGUUUUUUAAAUGGAAACUGGGAUGAAUGAAGUGAUGAGAUUUAAACUAUUUUAGAUUAAAUUGAUGAAUUUAUUAAUUAAGUAGAGAAUACUUAGAUAAGUGCAUGGGACGAGAAGACCCUAUAGAAUUUAAUAUAAAUUUAAUGAAAAAUUUAGUAUGUGAUUUUUUAAGUUUAUAUUUUAUUGGGAGGAUAGUUAAAUUAAUAAAACUUUAAAAAUAAAAAACCAUUGAUUUAUGAAGUAAAAAUAAAAAGAAUGGCAUUAAGAGAGUUUAAAUAGAAUUAAUUACCUUAGGGAUAACAGCGUUAUAUUUUUAGAGAGAUCUUAUUAAUAAAAAUGUUUGC
rnacentral:rRNA from 1 species